rnacentral:rRNA from 1 species
GAUGAACGCUGGCGGCGUGCCUAAUACAUGCAAGUCGAGCGAACAGAUGAGGAGCUUGCUCCUCUGACGUUAGCGGCGGACGGGUGAGUAACACGUGGAUAACCUACCUAUAAGACUGGGAUAACUUCGGGAAACCGGAGCUAAUACCGGAUAAUAUAUUGAACCGCAUGGUUCAAUAGUGAAAGACGGUUUUGCUGUCACUUAUAGAUGGAUCCGCGCCGCAUUAGCUAGUUGGUAAGGUAACGGCUUACCAAGGCAACGAUGCGUAGCCGACCUGAGAGGGCGACGGGGGGAAGUGGAAGUGAAACACGGGGGAGACGACAACGGGAGGCGGCAGAAGGGGAUGUUAGGCAAUAGGUUAAAGAGUUAAUAAACAACGAGAAGGAGGAGAUAAAGAAGGUUGGAGCGGAAAAGCGUGUGAUUAGGGAAGAACAAAAGAAUGCGGCACAAAACACGGCUGGAGGGGAAGUAAUAAGAGAGCGGAGGAGAACACCGUG